GUGGGGAAUAUUGGACAAUGGGCGCAAGCCUGAUCCAGCCAUGCCGCGUGAGUGAUGAAGGCCUUAGGGUUGUAAAGCUCUUUCACCGAUGAAGAUAAUGACGGUAGUCGGAGAAGAAGCCCCGGCUAACUUCGUGCCAGCAGCCGCGGUAAUACGAAGGGGGCUAGCGUUGUUCGGAUUUACUGGGCGUAAAGCGCACGUAGGCGGUUUGUUAAGUCAGGGGUGAAAUCCCGGAGCUCAACUCCGGAACUGCCUUUGAUACUGGCAAGCUAGAGUCCGGAAGAGGUAAGUGGAACUCCUAGUGUAGAGGUGGAAUUCGUAGAUAUUAGGAAGAACACCAGUGGCGAAGGCGGCUUACUGGUCCGGAACUGACGCUGAGGUGCGAAAGCGUGGGGAGCAAACAGGAUUAGAUACCCGUGUAGUCC
rnacentral:rRNA from 1 species